GCUGAACCAGGGAUGCUGUAAAAUUAGAAAAACGGUUGCAAGAACUCAGACUACAAUGGCAGCAAUCUCAGUGAUGAUCUCUUUCUGCUGCGACUCACACCCCCCUGACAGCUCCCUGACGAUACCGACCUUGCCCAAAGUGUUGUGCUCUACAGCGAUUUCUCGGAAGAAGAAAUAAACAUAGUUCCCAUAUUCUAUGGCGUGGAGGAAGUGUGGUUCUGUAAGAAAGAGCAAGGACAAGUUACUUCAAAGAGCUGCUCAGUCAUCAUACGACACUGACUGCGCUGUGCGACUUGGUGGCUCCCCCCCAGGCCCACACCACCCAGUGUGAGCUCCAGUCUUCCAGAUACUUUGGGAUGGCCAAAUAAGGGUGCACUGGAGUUUAAAUGAACUUGAAACUGGAGUUUAAGUGAACCUGAAGUCUUUAGUGUUGGCUACUAGACUGUAAAAAGGCCUCGCAGAAAUUCUAUUUCAGCUAUGGUAUUUUGUUACUGCAAAUCCAUUCACUGAAGUGUUUAACAAAAAUUUUUCCUUUUUUUUUUUUUGCAUUAAACAGCUUUUUUAUUGUAAUGAUACCACACUGAAAGCCUCAUACAUGCUGACAUUGUAGCAUAUGUGUAAAGCAUGCUGGCUGUGAAUUACCUGACCUGUGCCACUGAAAUUACAUUUGCUAUGUGUAUGGGAAAAUACUCCCCAAAUUACCUUUUAUCCAUUUGGAAUCAUACUUUAUUGUUCUUAAGGCAGAUCCAUCCCCCAUGCUGCGAUAAAUAACAGCAUCACUUGCCAGGAAAUCUGCUACUGUUGCCGAAUACAAUUUUCCAUCUAAAACGGAAGUUGAAAACAUGAUAUUAAGAGGCCUUUAAUAAUCUAGAGAAUUCUGAUUAGCCUGUAUUUUCCCCCAUUUUUUUUGCUGUCACACUUCCCCAAAUUGCUGUAACCUAUUUAUUAGCAGGUCAGCUUCUGAUCCUUUGGAGGCCCUUUAAAAAUUUAAGAGCAGGGGCACCAUGACACCUUUAGCUUUCCUGUGCUUGCUUUAAAAGCUCUCUGGCUCCUUUGGUGUCAUUAAUCAUUUAGACUCAUUACAAGCAAAAGUUCUUACCAGCAAAGAGGGCGACAUUGGUUUGUCUGGCAUCAAAUGGGCAUCUUGCCAAACCACUAAUUUCCUCCCCAUCAUACUCUAAGGUAUUCAGCUGGAGAAGAAGAAUAAAUGGGUGAUAGUGUCAUUUCUAUUUUGUGCACUGGCACAAAAGCACAACACUGUCUUUCCACAAAACUUAAUUCAGCACCUUGGCUUCUGUCUGUUUUUAUUUCACCUUGAAGCACUCCCCAAUCACACUGGAUGUAUUUGCUAAAGCAUAAUCAGUGCAAGCAAAAUCAGUAACAGAUGAAUGACGUCUGCAAUAUUCUUACCCGAUAGUAUCUGCACAUAGGGUUAAAUGCAUUUGUUCCACAGACAAACACCAUCUCAUCAUUUCUUGGAACAAAGACUUUAAUGAAGUUAUGGCAUUCAUCCUGAAAAGAGAAUAAUAUGUAUUAAUCACAGACUUCACAUAUAUAGUAAAUACUAGCAUAAUUUUUCUAUAAUGUUUAUUAACCCUAAACUUACUUUAUGUUUGCCUUUCAUAGCACAGUUCUCUCUGUCCUGUUGCCUUGAUCUCCAUGUUAAUUUCUGUUAAAUAAGACCAGAAAAGAACAUUGAAAUUCCUUUCCAUAGAAAAUUCUUAAAAAAAAUUAAACCCAAAGAAAACACCUCUCCCUUUCCAGCACCUGCAUCUACUCACCUUGCUUGGAGUAACUUCUGAUUUUGGAACUUCAUUUAAGUUUACAGUGUAAACCUGGUCCCUGUUUGCAGAGUAAAAAGACAUCAGUAAAUUCAUUAAUUCUAUGGUCCUGUAUUUGAUAAGCUAAACUGAUUUUUAGAAUAUUGUGUUAGACCAGAAAGUCCUAUGAAAUGCUUUUAGAUUUUCUGAGAAGGUUGUUCAUGGGAAACAUGGGGUGGUUUUGAUUUUUAUUGGUGUGGUCCUUAAGCAGCACCUGCAGUGUCCAGCUCCUCAUCUCUGCCUGCCCAUUCAGUUAAAGACUAACCCAGGCUGUAAAUAUGCAAGUGUGUAAUCCUCACUUCUGACAUCCCUGAUGUGUCAGUCCAAGUUUAAAGCGAUCAGGAGAGGUUUUUAUCAGGCAGGGCAGCAAUAUAAAAGAGGGAAAAGAGCAUUUGAUCAUUGGUUUUAGCCUAACUACAGUAACUGCAGCCUUCAAAUCCAAUUUUCAUGCACUGGCCAUAGAUAUGGUAUAUUUCUCUGGGAAGUCCUUUCCCAAUUCUAAUUUUUAUCAUAUUCUGCACAUUUUUCUAAAUGAAUUUUACACAUAAAUGCAAAACCAGAAGAGAAAAGAAUUUUAAUCUAAUGAACUGAGUGAAGGAAAAUUACCUGCCAGUGAUAUAAAGUGUGUCUCGAAUUUUCAGCAUUAGUUGGAAGUCCAGUCUGUGCUGAGAUUCAUUGCCUGAAGGGCGUCCUCUAAAUACUGGAUAUUGCCUUGAAUCUGCAAGUAAAAAUGGGCUACACCAUCACUCAGGAUUAUAGAGCUAAAGAAUCAAUAUAUGGCAUUGAUUAGCUGUAUAUACUAGGUGUAGAAGGGUUUAAACUAAAUUCCUUGAGUAAUGUCUUGAAUAUAAAUGAGAAAAAGAUGGCUAAUGUCAGCAAAUGUUCUUUUUCCUGAAGUUAUUGCUGUAUUUCUGAUUGCUUUUUUAAGAAAAUGAUUAAGUGUUCUAUUAAAGAUACAAAGCCAGUAAACACAUUUCAAUUUGAAA